GAUGAACGCUGGCGGCAUGCCUAACACAUGCAAGUCGAUCGGUAAGGCUCUUCGGAGUACCCGAGAGGCGGACGGCUGAGUAACGCGUAGGAACACACCCUGCAGUGAGGGAUAAGACACCGAAAGGUGUUCUAAUACCGCAUACGGUCUUCGGAUUAAAGCAUUUAUGCGCUGAAGGAGUGGCCUGCGCCAUAUUAGAUAGUUGGUGAGGUAAUGGCUCACCAAGUCGAUGAUGUGUAGCUGGUCUGAGAGGAUGAUCAGCCAGACUGGAACUGAGACACGGUCCAGACUCCUACGGGAGGCAGCAGUGAGGAAUAUUUCACAAUGAGCGAAAGCUUGAUGGAGCAAUGCCGCGUGCAGGAUGAAGGCCCUCGGGUUGUAAACUGCUUUUAUAAGAGAAGAUUAUGACGGUAACUUAUGAAUAAGGGACGGCUAACUACGUG
rnacentral:rRNA from 1 species